rnacentral:rRNA from 1 species
UACGAAGGGGGCUAGCGUUGCUCGGAAUCACUGGGCGUAAAGCGCACGUAGGCGGAUUCCUAAGUCGGGGGUGAAAUCCUGGAGCUUAACUCCAGAACUGCCUUCGAUACUGGGAAUCUUGAGUCCGGAAGAGGUGAGUGGAACUGCGAGUGUAGAGGUGAAAUUCGUAGAUAUUCGCAAGAACACCAGUGGCGAAGGCGGCUCACUGGUCCGGUACUGACGCUGAGGUGCGAAAGCGUGGGGAGCAAACAGG